GAUGAACGCUGGCGGCGUGCCUAAUACAUGCAAGUCGAACGCUUCACUUCGGUGAAGAGUGGCGAACGGGUGAGUAAUACAUAAGUAACCUGGCAUCUACAGGGGGAUAACUGAUGGAAACGUCAGCUAAGACCGCAUAGGUGUAGAGAUCGCAUGAACUCUAUAUGAAAAGUGCUACGGGACUGGUAGAUGAUGGACUUAUGGCGCAUUAGCUUGUUGGUAGGGUAACGGCCUACCAAGGCGACGAUGCGUAGCCGACCUGAGAGUGUGACCGGCCACACUGGGACUGAGACACGGCCCAGACUCCUACGGGAGGCAGCAGUAGGGAAUUUUCGGCAAUGGGGGAAACCCUGACCGAGCAACGCCGCGUGAAGGAAGAAGUAAUUCGUUAUGUAAACUUCUGUCAUAGGGGAAGAACGGGGGAUAUAGGGAAUGAUAUCCAAGUGACGGUACUCUAUAAGAAAGCCACGGCUAACUACGUG
rnacentral:rRNA from 1 species